rnacentral:rRNA from 1 species
UACGUAGGUGGCAAGCGUUGUUCGGAUUCAUUGGGCGUAAAGGGUGCGUAGGCGGCGCGGUAAGUCGGGUGUGAAAUCUCGGAGCUUAACUCCGAAACUGCAUUCGAUACUGCCGUGCUUGAGGACUGGAGAGGAGACUGGAAUUUACGGCGUAGCGGUGAAAUGCGUAGAUAUCGUAAGGAAGACCAAUGGCGAAGGCGGGUCUCUGGACAGUUCCUGACGCUGAGGCACGAAGGUCAGGGGAGCAAACGGG